UACGAGGGGGGCGAGCGUUGUUCGGAAUUAUUGGGCGUAAAGAGCUCGUAGGCGGCCUGUCGCGUCGGAUGUGAAAGCCCGGGGCUUAACCCCGGGUCUGCAUUCGAUACGGGCAGGCUAGAGUUCGGUAGGGGAGAUCGGAAUUCCUGGUGUAGCGGUGAAAUGCGCAGAUAUCAGGAGGAACACCGGUGGCGAAGGCGGAUCUCUGGGCCGAUACUGACGCUGAGGAGCGAAAGCGUGGGGAGCGAACAGG
rnacentral:rRNA from 1 species